UACGUAGGGGGCAAGCGUUGUCCGGAAUCAUUGGGCGUAAAGCGCGUGUAGGCGGUCCGGUAAGUCCGUUGUGAAAGUCAAGGGCUCAACCCUUGAAUGCCGGCGGAUACUGUCGGGCUAGAGUCCGGAAGAGGUGAGUGGAAUUCCCGGUGUAGCGGUGAAAUGCGCAGAUAUCGGGAGGAACACCAAUGGCGAAGGCAGCUCACUGGGACGGUACUGACGCUGAGACGCGAAAGCGUGGGGAGCAAACAGG
rnacentral:rRNA from 1 species